AAACCGUUAUUUCCUAUUGGGCGUUGGACCCAACUAUUCCAAUUUGCAUACAUUUAAACAAAAAGGAAUACUUGAAAUAAAGAGAAGGGCUUAUGCCCUUUUACAACACAUUUGAUGGACUUAUGUCCAUUUACAACAAAUUGAACUAAUCAAAUUACAUUCAAAUCUAAACUACUACUAAACCCAAAACAUUCAUAAUGUAAAGCGGCCAAUCACAUAGCUCAAUUAUCGAGGCCUUUGGUUCAUAAUCACCCUUUUCUUAAUCAAUCAUAUUAACUAAGAAAGCAACUUAAACAAUUG
rnacentral:lncRNA from 1 species